AGCUCGUCCUCUCUGUGUCUCCAUCAUGGUUGAUUCCUGGAGCUUCAGUCACUCUGAUCUGUCACACUGAGCCUCCGUCAGCAGGGUGGAGCUUCUACUGGUUCAAAGCUGUUCCAAACUCUCAGGAUUCCUACACCUAUGAGCCUCUACCUGGUACCAGCAGUGGGACAGCAAACAAUUCCUUCACAGUUCAUGGACAGACACACACAGCAGGAUAUGCAUGUUCAGCUGGACGAGGGGAUCCGCUGAUUUACACACAACACAGUCGUCCCACAUUUGUCUGGUCUUCAGGUGUUCAUCCAUCAGCGUCUCUCACAGUGAAUCCUGACAGAGUCCAACACUUCACCUCUGAAUCUCUCUCACUGACAUGUGAAGGAAACUCUUCCCAGUGGAGGCUGAUCCAGUUUCUGACUGACGACUCGCUGUUGAGCUUUCUUCCUCCAGCUACAAUCAAUGAAUCAACAUAUAUUAAGAAUGAGGCUCCAAGAAAAGCUGUGUACUGGUGUGAGUCUGGAACAGAGUUCAGCAAUGCAGUCAACAUCUCCACACACUCUGAUGGCGUUAUCCUGGUGAGCCCUGUGUAUCCUGUACCUGUGGGAGAGUCUGUAACUCUCCUCUGUGUCAUGAAGACUGGAAAUAUUCCCUCGGAUGUGUUUUUCUACAAAAAUAACAAAGUCAUUGAAAAUGAGAGACGAGGAGAGAUGAAGAUCUCUGCAGUGUCAGAAUCAGAUGAAGGUUUCUACAAGUGUCAGUACAAUGGAAGAGAAUCAGCACAAAGCUGGAUGGCUGUGAAAGUGUUGCAGUGUCCAGAUCUGAGAGCUCUUCAUUCCAUGUCUGGUUGAUCUUUGGGCUGGUUUGUGGAGUUUUGCUUAUUUUCAUCCUCUGCCUGCUGUGGUGCUACAAAUGCAAAAAGAGGUCAUGCUGCAGCAGACGUAUUGAGUCUUUGUAUGUCAAUCAAAGCUCUGCGACAAACCAGCCAGUGACCCAGAGUGAAAGUCAACUUUACUCCUCUCUCCUGCACGGUGAUGUUUCUCUUUAUGAAUCCCUCAGACGCCCUGGAAACCCUGCAAACGGUGAACCAGCUCAGGAUUACAUCAACGUCACAUCCCACCAGCUUGAUGAUCUUCAUGAAUGAUGACGGAGGAAGGAAAAGCCAUAAAUCAGUGUCAGUGAUGCCAGUGGAGCCUCAUCUUCAGGACUGGAAACCACAGCAGAGUCCGAGAAUCAACAGGUUCUGAUUAAAACAUGAAAAGCGACUGAAACCAGAUCAAGCCUGGUGGUUGAAACAAGGAGCUGCUCCUCAUACACAGAAUACACACUGUGUGUAGGACGGUGUGUGGAGGAAGAGGCUUCAUUCCACAUAUUUGACGUGAAAAUGUCUGGUUGAUUGAUAGAUUCUGUCGUUUCUUUCACACUGUUUCACAUCAAUUAUCACAUCACUUUGUUGUGAUUAUCAGAGGAUUUUAAUUUGAAAUCUACACAGGCCUUUUUUAUACGUAGUCUCCAACUGUUGUUCUGCUGAUUAUUAUUGUUUUAACAUUUCUGUUUUGUUACUUUUUUACUUUGGAACAAUUUCAGGUUUUUAAAACUUUUUUUUUGUCUUUUAUACAUGAAUAGUUACAGCUCACGAUCAGUGUAAUUCCAGCA